GGAUCUGAUCAUAAUCCAUUCUGCUCUAACGCACAACUCUUUAACCAAAUGAAUGAUAAACUCUUUUAGAGGUUUACAUGCAUGUAUUAUAAGCAUCCUGCUGUAUAUCCCACUUCAACUCUCCAGUACUGUCCCAUUUCCAGAAUGAGCCCUUGGCCAAGAAUUUUCCAAUAGCAAUUUCAGAAAGAGAAGUCUACAAGGUGUUUGAAAAUUUGCUGUGCUGCAGAGAUUCUACAGAAAGAUAUUGCUGGGAUAUAAUAUGAUACAAAGCACAGCAGGAUGCAGUCUGUUUGCCAUGCCAAAUACAUCUUGCAACAGACAAGAGGUUUAAAGGAUAUACCCAUGAGGGACUAUUAAAUGAAUGUAACUGGAGAGGCUAGUACAGGGAAGAGCCUUAUUCUAAAGAUGCAAGAUUAACAUGAGCAGCUGCUGAUGUUAAGGCAAGCAAAGAAUAAUUUGGUAUUGUAUAGAAUAGACAAUAUAAUAAAAAGGUGUAAGUGAUGGUGUCCAUCAUUACUGUUCAACAAAUAAACUAUUUCUUCAGCUUCAAAUAUUCACUGACUUGGAACAAGUUUCUGAAAGAGUGGAAAGAAAAACUGAUUAAACAAUCUGGAAAACCUGUUCUGAAUUUUUUUUUUUUAAUGGUUUUCAAAGAGAUCUGAAGUUUCAGCUUAAUAUUGAGAGGACCAGGAUGCGCCUGGAAAGCAUAGGGAUUAGUUGCAUAGAGAAUCACAGAAUGUGCAACAUUUGGUUUUUACUACUUGAUACUAUGUUGAAUGUUAUGUAUGCUAGUAGCUUCUCUUCUACUUCUUCUUUCUUGAUGUUACAAGGAUGUUCAGAGUUAGGUUAUAAAAUGUCUUAGGACAAGCAAAUUCAUGUAAGCAUCCUUGUCACUUGAGUUUGCCACUGUGUGGAAGGAGUCAGAUUUGUUUAUAGGAAGCAGAAUAAAGGAGCUAAUAACUGAGAGGAAUGUAAAAGUGAGGAAGCUGGUGAAAUUGUGUGAAGAUCUUUUAGAAGCUGGAGUUUGUGCAAUAAAAGCUACAGUGUGCUUAUCUACAGUUUAGAAAACCACUCUUUACAGAAAUACAAAGUAGGCAGUAGAUUACUGUUUAAGACAAUAUACCAGCAUAAGGAAUGUAUGCAGUAACUAGGAGGGAGGCAGUAGGUUUGCAGACUUUUCCAGUAUAUUAGUUCUAAUAUUUUUUCUAAUUAUAGUAUUGUUUUCUCUUGUGUUUUUAUGUCCCACAUUAGGGAUAUCCACUUUCUAAAAUUUAAAACAAUCUAGUUACAUUUUCAUUAGAAUAUCAUCAUAGUAUCUUAUGGUUGCUUGUUUCUAAAUUGUCAUACAUUUGUCUGAAUUAUGACAAGACUAAAUUAUGUUAUCCCUGUUUAUUUUGCUUAAAUGAGACUGCUUCUCUUUGUCAAAUUGAUCACAUUUUCUUUGGCCUUAAUUACUAUAACAUACUCACAAAGAAUUUUGAGUAAUCAGUUAUGUAUCACUUUCUGGAAUCAAGGCAAAGAAAUUUUCUCGUAUCUGAUCAAUCAUUCUUACACAAUGGAAUAAAGAAUCCUAGAAUUUUUUUUAUGAAGUAUAUAUCUGUAUGAACAUACGUGUUAGGUCACUCUGAAAGUAAUACCUCAUAUUUAUUUCCUGAAAAAAUACAACAGGUACAAAGAGCAUAAUAGCACUAUCUGGUUGUUU